UCAGAGAAAAAGAAGAAAAUAAAAGGAAAACAUAAUCUGAGAUGGAGCUCGUGGAUUAUGCAAUCCAUCGAAUCAUUGGAAAGGAAGCUGGAGCGGUGAUCCGGAGGGCUUCUCACCCAUGAAAUGGGUGUUUUAUGAGCAGAACUGAGUAAAAGAAAACAUCAACUUGCAUAAAAAUCCCACAGAGGUCGCUUGAAAUCGAGCAGUAGGUGAUACCGCGUGGCAGUCCGUCACCGUGCUAAGUGUUUUCGUGAUCCGGCAAACAUCACCGUCAUGUGAAACAAAUGAAUUGGUGUAUUUCCUGCAUGAAGACGACCACAGCACACGUGUUUCGUGGUGGAGUCACGGUGUGGGGUCUCAUGGCAUCUUUGCACAUAAACACACAAACAGGAAGGCAGGUAAGAGUCCUACCAUUCAGCGAGAAGGAUCACAGAGUGAAUGAUGGUGACAGCGAGUGGUAUGGCCUGUCAGCGCAGAUGGACUUCUCCCCAAAUAGGCAGCUGCUCCCAGGCGACCGUGCUCCCUGGCACCUGCCAGCCCGUGAGUAUCAACAGUCACGGACCAGGCUGUGCCUCUCCAGUCUGGUGGUGCACAUGUGAAGGAAGCAUGGACGCUAAGCUCCCUGACCCGGACGCUCGCACACUUUAUCACACCGUCAGCAUACUGUGUUGCAAUGUCAACUUGCUUGUCGCCAUCGCUAGACUGUACGCUUCCGGAAGGUUGACCUUGAGUCUGGCAUCCAGUGGCCCUCCAUACAUAUUCCUGGAAUGAGUGAGUAUGUGGACACAGCAGCAUGAAAUCAACUUAAUUUUGUGGUUGUUUUAAUGUGAAGGAUGUAGAUAACAACUGCUACCCUGUAAGCCAUGACUAAUAUUAAUAGGUACUUUCAUUCCUAAUUACACACUCGUGCUCCUGUUGAUGU